rnacentral:rRNA from 1 species
CUUGAGGUGGCUGCUUGGGAUGCUCUCCUUCAGGCCAUCGCCCUUCAACCUCUAGAUGUCGACAAUGCAGAGGUCUCCCUCUCGUGGUGCCUCGAGACUUCAGGACGCUUCUUGACCAAGUCCGUCUAUCAAGUGAUUGCCACAUCAAUGGCCCCUGAGCCGUUUAGUUUGAUCUGGAUCUGCCUCCCCUUGAAGAUCAAGAUCUUCCUCUGGCAGUGGAUUCAAGGACACUUGCCCUCUGGGGUUGAGGUGCGCAAGCGCAACGGGCCUGGUGACGGCCUGUGCCCACUAUGUGACGUGGCGGAAGAUGCUAACCACAUCUUCUUCUCAUGCAUGACCGCCCAGUUCCUGUGGUCCUGCUUCUGCGACAUGGUUGGUGGAACUUGGUGCAACACCAACUUCCCUGACUUGUUGGCAUAUAUUGAGGCCUCUGCUCCCCGGUACCGACACAUUAGGUGGCUAUGUGUUGGGGUUCUUGCUUGUAUACUAUGGACCGUGCACAAUAUGCUUGCCAUCCAGCGUUCCCCUCUUCGAUGUCUAAUGUCAUCUUUAAAAUGUGUGGUUUAUUGCAGCUCUGGCGGCCUCUUAGCCGCACCCAGGACCAGAAUGCCAUAA